rfam:Triticum aestivum genome assembly, contig: Triticum_aestivum_CS42_TGACv1_scaffold_622961_7DS
GCAUCCAUGGCUGAGUGGUUAAAGCGCCCAACUCAUAAUUGGUAAAUUUGCGGGUGUG